rnacentral:tRNA from 1 species
GGUGGCUUAGUGGUAGAGUGCUUGCCUUGCAUGCAUAAAGCCCUGGGUUCAAUUCCUCAGCACCA